rnacentral:rRNA from 1 species
UACGUAGGGUGCGAGCGUUAAUCGGAAUUACUGGGCGUAAAGUGUGCGCAGGCGGUUCGUUGUGUCGGUGGUGAAAGCCCCGGGCUUAACCUGGGAAUGGCCAUGGAAACUGGCGAACUGGAGUGUGGCAGAGGGGGGUGGAAUUCCACGUGUAGCAGUGAAAUGCGUAGAGAUGUGGAGGAACACCGAUGGCGAAGGCAGCCCCCUGGGCUAACACUGACGCUCAGGCACGAAAGCGUGGGGAGCAAACAGG